rnacentral:rRNA from 1 species
AUUGAACGCUGGCGGCAGGCCUAACACAUGCAAGUCGAACGAGUGGCGGACGGGUGAGCAAUGUCCGGGAAACUGCCCGAUGGAGGGGGAUAACUACUGGAAACGGUAGCUAAUACCGCAUACCAUCGGAUGUGCCCAGAUGGGAUUAGCUAGUAGGUGGGGUAACGGCUCACCUAGGCGACGAUCCCUAGCUGGUCUGAGAGGAUGACCAGCCACAGUGGAACAGAGACACGGUACAGACUCCUACGGAAGGCAGCAGUGGGGAAUAUUGCACAAUGGGCACAAACCUGAUGCAGCCAUGCCGCGUGUAUGAAGAAGGCCUUCGGGUUGUAAAGUACUUUCAGCGAGGAGGCGUUACUCGCAGAAGAAGCACCGGCGAACUCCGUGCCAGCAGCCGCGGUAAUAC